UACGGAGGAUGCAGGCGUUAUCCGGAAUGAUUGGGCGUAAAGCGUCCGCAGGUGGCUAUGUAAGUCUGCUGUUAAAGAGUGAGGCUCAACCUCAUAAAAGCAGUGGAAACUACAUGGCUAGAGUGCGUUCGGGGCAGAGGGAAUUCCUGGUGUAGCGGUGAAAUGCGUAGAGAUCAGGAAGAACACCGGUGGCGAAAGCGCUCUGCUAGGCCGCAACUGACACUCAUGGACGAAAGCUAGGGGAGCGAAUGGG
rnacentral:rRNA from 1 species